AGAUGCUGCUGAGAGAGGAAGGAAGCAACAAAGGACCCUGAACCCCUGCACCGAGUUCCUUAUUUUGAAUGGGCUUCCAGUUAGAUGUUGCCUCAUUUUAAACCAUAGGCUUGGUGAGGUUGAUUUCACAGCUCUGUGGGCUGGAUGCCAAGCUAAGAGCUUGGACAAUUGCCCAAUCGAUGAAAAGUUGUUUUGUUGUGUUUUGUCUCCAGGCACAGAAUGCACAAAUAAAGAACAGUUAUAGGGGAGGUUCAGCCUGGGAUGAUACAAUUUUAGGUCCCCUUCAGAAACUAUUUUGAUUUCCUUCUUCUGCAUCUGUACUUUCCUCCUGACUUCCCCUCCCCUUCCUUUGUUAAUGAAAUUCCUAUCUAAGAGUUGAAAGAUUCCCCAUGAGAGCUCAAAUAAAAAGCCAGUGUGUGAACAAGCCUGUGGGAAGAUGCACUCCAAAUGGGAGAGAGCGUGCAGUGGUUCGUGUGACCAUCAGUGGAAAUGUUUCUGAAGACGUUUUCCUUGGUGGGCUUCAGGAACUCUUGUGUCCAUUGUCACAGAUCAAGAGAAUUAGGACAGAGGAUGCCGUGAGCUAGAUGUUAAGCUCCAAGAAAAGAACAAUGUAUGGGAAAUGAGUCUUCCCUGAUGGAAGUAACACUUGGCAGCAAAGAAGAAAAAGAAGAUGGCUGUCUGGUCCAGAGCAACUAGAGGGAUCAUUGUUCCAUUAACCAAAGCCUCCGUGAUGGCAGAAGGAUGGCCCCCCAAAGAUGGCCAUGUCCUAAUCCCCAGAACCUGAAGGGGCCACAAGCCCACAGCAAAGAGCAGAGGACCUCAGUAGUACAACUGCAUGGAACUGAAUUCUGCUGGCAAACCCAAUGAGCAGGGAAACAGAUUCUUCCCCCCAGGAGUUUCUGGUAAGGAAUACAGCUCUGACGAUAGCAGAGCUAUAUUGUGUUGGGCUUCUGAUCUAUAGAACUGUGAGACACAAAUUUAUGUUUUUUAAGGUACUACAUUUGUGGUAAUUUGUUUUGGCAGCAACUUCCCACCCCACAGUGUAAAAGCCAAGCUGCUCAGAAUCCCCAUCUCCCUUUGUCUCUGACGUCAUUUCCUACUACUCUCCCCUGGGCUCCCCUCACCCCCUCCAUCAACUCCAGGGCCUGGACCAGAGUGAAACUUGUGAGGCAUGGACCUUGAGAUGCCAAAACAUUCAGUAAUCAAGAUAAAUAAUAUUUUAAUGACAAAGCAUCAUUAAUACAAAAGAAAAAGACAAAACUUUGGAAGAAAGGCAGGAUCCAACCCUGUGUUUGUACGCCUCGCCUUUGGCUAAUUCUAGACCUGAUCUUUGUUGCUCUGAACCCUCCAGGCACACUCAACCCCCAGUGCUUUGCCGUUUGCUUUUGCCCUAAAUAUCUGCAAGCCUUUCUCCCUCACCUGCAUCAGUCUUUGCUCAAAUUUCCCCCUUCUUAAUGAGCCUUCCCUGACCCUCUAUAUAAAGUUGCAGUGCCUCACGCCAGCACUCCUGGGCCCCCCUUGCUUUAUAUUUCCCCAAACAUGUUACAUGUCUAAUAUUCUAUUUUAUUAAUUUACUACUGUAGGGGAGAUAACAUUUCUUCUUUACCCAUCGAGGGUUUCUGGCAGGGAUGUCUUAACAGGUGAAGAGUAGGAGAGAAUACAAAUUUCAUUUAAUAAAAGUUUGCCCGUACAUAGGAGUCUUCACAGGAAAAGAAAGAUCCAAAGAAGCAUCUAGGCCCCAGGGCUUAUGUACAACGUUGAAAGGAGAGUGACGAUUGUGGAGAAGUAACUAAAAUAUAUGGGGAGACUAGAAGAAGAUAAAAGUUAUUUUAAUAAGGUCUGUUUGUACAAAUUUCCCUCGACCUUGACUCCCCAUCUCUGGUGAUAAAAAUGUUCUUUUCCUCCUGGUUUUAGGAGGGCAUCUUUCACAUUCGGAGUUUCAUCUCCUGUUUUCAGGAAGAAGAGGAAAGGUCAAAGUGCUUUCUUUGCACCUGUUGGUUUUCAAGUGACUUUAGCUCAAAAUAAUAUGUCAAAGCAGCAUGUUUUGAGGUGGCAUGUUCUGAGCCCCUUUAUUUCUUAUUGUUUGUUGCUGUUUCACCAAGGCCUAACAGUAUGUGGCGGGUGUAGGCCUUCAAUUGGGAAGGAAUGAAGGAGGCAGGGAGAGAGGGGGAGGGCAAGAGAGGAAGGAAGGAGAAGGAAGAACAAAAGUGUGGCUAGUGUCGGUAGGGGAACAGGGCGGGUAUAUGUAUUCAGGGAAGAACUUUCCCCUCGGUUUAUUGAAACCUAAAAUCCCUGAAGAACUGUAGUAAAUUUCAAUCUGCCUAAGGAAAUAUUGAUUUAUAAGCAGGGUUAUUUUUUCCUCUCCCAAAGGGGAAAGCCAUCCAGAGCCAGUAUAGUCUAUUAGGUUAAUUAGCAGAUUUGGAUUAGCUGUGUGCUUUCUUUUCAAGGACAUUAGCUAAAUUCUGUUUCCACUGAAAUUCUGGGAAAUGUUUGAAUCCCAUGCAGUUUGCCCCAAGUCCUUUGAGACAGAGUCUCUGCAAGCUAUAUUUAAUGAUCCCUAGAGGUUUUAUUCUUGUCUAGUUUACUCUCAACAAAUAAAAAUUCAAUUUUGAUGAUCCCUUUCUCCUAUUUUUCAGUGGCUUCUAAUGAAUCUAUUGUCAAAGAUUAGUGAUAACUUGCAUUAUAAAUUGGUCUUUAUGCCAUGGUAACAAAGAACAUUGUAACAAAUGUAUCACAAGUUUGAUUAGGUUGGAAAAGAAACCCGAGCUUUACCACCAUUUUCACUGACUGACUACAUGCAUGAAAGUCAGGGGUUGACUAGAAUAUCUGAGCUGGGAGUAAAGCGGAGUGAGGUUACAGUUGGUGGCACAUGCUGAAUUAUGAGGAUUGUGGGCCAAGGUGGCCAAUGUGGACAUUUGUAGGACAAUUAAGCUAAGGAACUAGGUUAGGAGAGAGAAGAGAGGUGCAGAAGGAGGCAAAGAAGGGCAGGUGGGGAGUAGAAGGGAGAGACUCAGAGACAAACUGGAAAUAACAGACUCCAUUCCUGACAGCUCUUCCAUUUCCCAUCCUAGAGUCUUUACUUCCUGCCCAUGAAUUCCCAUGGGCUCUCCCCACAUCUUACUUGAACCAGGUUGAGGGGUUCUUUGUUCCUCAUACUUGGACUGUAUAUUCUUGAGGAUGGCCGUUGAAAAAGCAAAAAUUUCCUUGAGUGAACUUGGAAACCACAGCCAGAUUUGCAUAGUCUUUUCCACUGGAAUUAAAGAGUGGGUUUUCAUGUUUUUAGUGUAUGAAAGAAAAAUGAGUUUCAACUAAAUGUAGUCUCUUGGAUUGGAUCCUGGAACAGAAAAAAGGAUCUUGGUGGGGGAAACUGGUGAAAUCUGAAUAAAGUCUGGAGUUUGGUUAAUAAUCAUAAUCAUUGUGAUUUCUUAAAUUUGACAUGUACCAUGGUUAUGAAAGAUGUUAACAUUAAAGCAAACUGGGAAGAGUAUACAGAACCUGUACUAUCUUUGCAGCUUUCUUAUAGGUCCAAACUUAUUCUAAAAUAAAAAGUAUGUUUCAGGGCACCUGGGUGGCUCAGUCAGUUAAGUGUCCAACUUUGGCUCAGGUCAUGAUCUCACAGUUCUUGACUUCAAGCCCUGUAUCCGGCUCUGUGCUGACAGCUCAGAGCCUGGAGCCUGCUUCAGAUUCUGUGUCUCCCUCUCUCUUUGGCCCUCCCCUGCUUGCACUCUCUCUC